rnacentral:siRNA from 1 species
CGCCAUUAUGCCAAGUAAAGUGAC